GCAUCAACUUCCCUUGAGCACAAAAUACCUUUCUGUAUUGGCUAGAGAUAAUGAUUGGGUUGGAUUUUUGUCUGAAGCUCAGAGUGGAGGAUACCCUUUUGAUACAGUGGUCCAAGUGGCAGCCAAGGAAUUUAGUGAUCCACGUCUCAAAAUUCAUAUUUUAACAGUCUUGAAAGGCAUGCAGUCAAGAAAGAAAGCUG
rnacentral:misc_RNA from 1 species